rnacentral:lncRNA from 1 species
UCAAUUAAACUUAAUCUCAGCCCAUUGUCUUAAUCAAAUUAAGUCAAUUAGCAAUUGAAUUGCUAAUUGAUCCUCCUGCAACACUUGCACUAGGUUAAAUAUCAAUCGUAUUGAUCGUUUAACCCUAGAACGGUUCUUAAUCAUUGAUCAACCAUCCGAUUGAAUCAUGAACUCUAAUGUGUGUGACCUCAUAGGUCCGAACCUAAGUCGGUAGCACAGGAAUAAUUUUUUAUACCAAUCGAAGUGACCAUUUAGCAAUAGUACCCGACGAUCGGAUAGGUCGAAUGUAUAGAACAACAUCCUUAGAACCCAUGCGGAUAUAGUUUUCAUAUAAUUCAUCCCCUUUGAAGGAAAAACUAGCUUGUUUCUUAUACGAUCUUCCAGAUCUAAUGAGAUCUGGGGCAGAAUAUUUUAAAAAAAAAUUAUCCUAUGAUGUUUUAGAUCAAAGAUCUAUUAGAUCUAAUUUCUAUUAUCUGAUACUAAAUCUAAAAUUAAAUCUGAAAACAAGAGGAAUGGAGAAAUACCUCUAGGGUAACUAGAUUACCCUGUAGAUGAUCGUAACAAUAUUCGAGGUUCUAAAAUAGCCACGCAGUCACCUAGCCUCUAUCGGUAUCCACUUAAGUAGGAUCUGG